AGAAGCUCCUUCCUUAUAAAUAUAUGCCCAGGCAUGCAACCAUCAGUACACAGCCACAAAUGCAAGUGCAGAUGACUGACUAGAAGAGGUCUUGCAUGGAAGUAAGAGGCCAUCUUCGAUAGCCAAGGAUGAUUUGCCUGUAGCCCCAUUGUCAUCAGCUCUCUCCGUCGAGAGCGACAACCGGGCUCUACUGGCAAGUCUCCUCGGCUACCCGAGUACCUCUUAUGCUAUCCCAUGUCAGACCUGCUCUUCUUUACCAUCAGUGAUCAUCAAAAUUCACAACACCAACAAUGAGGUAAGCAAUCUAAGUAACAAAACGUCCCAGUGAUUACCUUGGUGGCGCUUGUAUGUACCAAAGGCAUCCUCUAUGGCUACACUGUAUUAUUCUGCAGUUCUGUCAUUGCCAAUCUGCCAUUGUGGUACUAUCAGCCACCACCAUGCCACAAAAGGUUACACUUCGGCUGAAAACACACGUCUUGUUUAGAUAUUUAGUAUUUCUGGAGUUCCUCCCAAAAAUAUAUGAUCUAAGCUUUGAAAAAAUAUCAAGGAUGAUUUUUAUUUAGCUUUGCACACUCAACUCGUAGCCUUUCCU
rnacentral:precursor_RNA from 1 species